CCAAUUAAGAAACAUUAGAAGUCUAAUGACUUAAAGAGGAACGGUUCACACAGGACACAAGGUUCUUGACAGCAGCCAAGCAAAUUGCAAAGUCUCCAGCUCAGUGGGCAGGGUGGAGACCAAGAGAAGAUGACCAGAAUUUGGGGCUGUAACAUGUCUUUUUUCUGUCUUUGAAAUAGUAUGUGGUAAAUAUGUCUAAACUCCUCACUUGUCAUAAAUUCCAAGGAGGAUAAAGGAAGCCAGCAGCCCACGGAACCAGCAGCUCUGCAACCUCACCAGAACCCAAUCAUGCUGACACCCUGAUCUUAGACUUCGCGCCUCUAGAACUGUGAAAAAAAAAAUAUGUUGUUGGUAAGCCACUCAGUCUCUAGUGCUUUGGAACAGCAGCCCAAGCUGACUAAGACACUGUCUAUCUAUGUAUCAAAAAUCAAAUGGUUGUCCUAAGUAUACUGUUAACAUGUUUAUUUGAACUAAAAUAUGAAGUCAAUUGUUUUUUCUAAUAUCUGAUCAUUAAAUAUAAUUUGGGCCAUAAAACUCAAAAGUAAUUUAAAUGCUUUGAUCUGACUGAUUGACUUGACAAUGUGAAAUGGCUUUGCCAAUCAUAGGAUGAAUAUUUUCCGGAAGUUGAAUGAGUUAAAUCUUCAAUUAUAAAGUUGUUCUAAAAU